UGUGGAUGUAUGCACUGCAAUUUGCGAAACUUUAAAGGACCAAUACUUAAAGGCACCAUCAACAGAAGAAGAGUGGAAUAAAAUUGCCAAAGAAUUUGAUGAACUGUGGCAGUUCCCAAACUGCAUUGGUGCAAUGGAUGGGAAACACAUAGCAUUUGCCCCACCACGAACUGCUGGCUCAACAUACUUCAAUUAUAAAACAUUCCACAGUGUUGU